GACGAACGCUGGCGGCGUGCUUAACACAUGCAAGUCGAACGGAAAGGCCCUGCUUUUGUGGGGUGCUCGAGUGGCGAACGGGUGAGUAACACGUGAGUAACCUGCCCUUGACUUUGGGAUAACUUCAGGAAACUGGGGCUAAUACCGGAUAGGAGCUCCUGCUGCAUGGUGGGGGUUGGAAAGUUUCGGCUGUUGGGGGUGGACUCGCGGCUUAUCAGCUUGUUGGUUGGGUAGUGGCUUACCAAGGCUUUGACGGGUAGCCGGCCUGAGAGGGUGACCGGGGACAAGGGGACUGCGAGAGGGCGCAGACUCGUACGGGAGGCAGCAGGGGGGAAUAUUGCACAAUGGGCGGAAGCGUGAGGCAGCAACGCUGCGUGCGGGAUGACGGCCUUCGGGUUGUAAACCGCUUUCGCCUGUGACGAAGCGUGAGUGACGGUAAUGGGUAAAGAAGCACCGGCUAACUACGUG
rnacentral:rRNA from 1 species